AAACUUGUAAUUAUUGAAAAUCAUUUUAAAACUCUUUGUUAUUUAAGUCAUUAUGGAAUGUGAGAUGGUAGAGUAUGAGUUUCUUAUUCUUAUCAUUGUUGCUUGGAGAAUUUAUUUCAAAAUCUUUAAAAUUCUAGCUACCAUCCUCAGUAUUUUAUAUGCCUGAUAAAACUGAAAAUAUUAAUUAUGAAAGCUAUCUACUCUGUAUUGAGUUUGUUCAGAAUGAGUUAGACCCUUGUUGAGAGAUUUAUCAUGCUCCUAAGAUUAAGACAUUUAUUCAGAAAGAUUCACUCUUCCGAAGUAUUAUUGCAUUAGAGGCAUGGACUAUGCAAAAAUAAGGAUAUUUCAAGGAAAUAAAAAGGAGCAAGUGCUCGACAACCUCGCAGAAAAAAUGGACAAGUGUCCGGCAGUAGAAUUAGGGGUAUCUCGGUAUCCACUUAAAAAAAAGAGAAAAAGGAAAAGAAAAUGAUUGCCCAUGGUCCCUCUAAUAAGCAAUUCCAAAGUCUUUGAUCUAAGAGUAUAACAUUCCCCUCCUCGGAUCCCGUUUUGAUCAAGCAAUAAAUGCAAAGUAAGUAUGCUUAAGAAUUUUUGGAAAUUAAAACAGCCGAGAUAUAUAAAAGAUAAUGAGUGAUCUGAGAGAACCUAUGAGGAUAAAAGGUAUGCUAACUUUCUUUUCAAAAAUAUACAAAAACUCCAUGUGACAGGAUUGAGAAGAAAGGAUCUUUACUCUUAACCAUAUACUUCCCUGACUAUGGUACACAGUGGAUUUUAACACCCUGCAGUUAUGAAGAGAAUGUUUUAAAAUGUUUUACCCCAGAUAUUGUUCUUAACCAUCCUUUUCUCGAGGACGAGUAAAAGCCUAAGUAUGGGGGUAUUUGUUGACGGUUCUUAAGUAUCAAUUU
rnacentral:lncRNA from 1 species